GGCGAACGGGUGAGUAACACGUGGGUAAUCUGCCCUGCACUCUGGGAUAAGCCUGGGAAACUGGGUCUAAUACUGGAUAUGACCUUUCUCCUUAUGGGGUUUGGUGGAAAGUUUUUCGGUGUAGGAUGAGCCCGCGGCCUAUCAGCUUGUUGGUGGGGUGAUGGCCUACCAAGGCGACGACGGGAAGCCGGCCUGAGAGGGUGAUCGGCCACAUUGGGACUGAGAUACGGCCCAG
rnacentral:rRNA from 1 species